rnacentral:lncRNA from 1 species
GUGGACUUGAGUUGGGAGGAGAAUACCCCCACCCAGAUCCUGACAGGGAAGAGGAUGGAAGGAGAGACUCUGGCAUCAUCUUUUAUCCCUCUUAGGGAAGCCGGGGUCCCCUCACCUGCCUGGGGACGCGCAAGGCCAGGGCACGGGGGCAAAUUUGGCCUGCUUUUGGAAACACCGACAAACCCAGCCCUGGCCCCGAGCCUCUAUCCCGAGUCAAACGGACAGAAAGACAGGCAACAGGUACAGGGCACGAGGACGCUGGCUCUGACCAGGAGUUUGGGGGAGCCUCGGGACACUGCUGUGCUUUGGAGAACCCCUCCACGUGCUGCACGGGCAUCUUGCCCCCAGGGGCACUUGCCUGGAAGAUUCAGGAGUCUGGGCAGCCUUCACCUCCUCUCACCCGCUUCCGAGAUGCCCAGGAGGCCACUGACAUGCCUUGGCGAAGAGAAGAGAGACGUUGGUGGAGGAAGGGCCGCCCAGUGGCAGCUCAUCCUCCGAGGGAAGGGCCUCCUGCCUUGGCCCUCUCCCAGCUUCGCUUCCCGGGCGCAGCGCAGGAGGGCCCGAUGUCCUCAGACCAUUGAAACCACUAGUUCUGUCCCCCCAGGAGACCUGGCUGUGUGUGUGUGAGUGGUUAACCCACCUCCAUCCCCCAACCCGACCCUUCCUGCGGCAUAGAGAGACAGGGCAGGGUCCCGGUGCCCACCCUGGAGGCAGAGAAAAGAGAAGUGUUUUAUAUAUGGUAGUUAUUUAAUAUGCCCUUUUAAUUAGAAAUUAAAACAGUUAAUUUAAUUAAAGAGUAGGGUUUUUUUCAGUAUUCUUGGUUAAUAUUUAAUUUCAACUAUUUAUGAGAUCCAUCUCUUGCUGUCUCGCUCUCUCUUAUUUGUACUGGUCUUUGUGUAUAAAAUUCCUGUUUCCAAUCUCUCUUGCUCUGAUCGGUGACAGUCACCAGCUUGUCCUGAGCAGAUAUUUAAUUUUGCUAACACUCAGUUCUGCCCUUCCCUUUCCCUUGGCUCCCCACCACACAUUCCUUUGAAAUAAGGUUUCAAUAUACAUCUACAUACUAUAUAUAUAUUUGGCAACUUGUGUUUGUGUAUAUAUAUAUAAUAUAUAUAUAUAUGUUUAUGUAUAUAUGAUUCUGAUAGACAUUGCUAUUCUGUUUUUUUAUAUGUAAAAACAAAACAAGAAAAAAUAGAGAAUUCUACAUACUAAAUCUCUCUCCUUUUUUAAUUUUAAUAUUUGUUAUCAUUUAUUUAUUGGUGCUACUGUUUAUCCGUAAUAAUUGUGGGGAAAAAGAUAUUAACAUCACAUCUUUGUCUCUAGUGCAGUUUUUCGAGAUAUUCCGUAGUACAUAUUUAUUUUUAAACAACAACAAAGAAAUACAGAUAUAUCUUAAAAAAAAGCAUUUUGUAUUAAAGAAUUUAAUUCUGAUCUC